UACGUAGGGGCCGAGCGUUGUCCGGAGUUAUUGGGCGUAAAGCGCGCGCAGGCGGCCUCGCGCGCCGACGUGAAAGCCCCCCGGCUUAACCGGGGGAGGGUCGUGGGGACGGCGGGGCUUGAGGGCGGGAGAGGUCGGUGGAAUUCCCGGUGUAGUGGUGAAAUGCGUAGAGAUCGGGAGGAACACCUGUGGCGAAGGCGGCCGACUGGGCCGACCCUG
rnacentral:rRNA from 1 species